rnacentral:lncRNA from 1 species
CAAGCCAAUCUCUGUCUGGAAGUUUGUCCGGGAUGAUUGGGAACCUCACCAAUCUUAAACAAGUGUGAGCAAACACAACUUAUUUUUUCCGUUUUUUGAUAUUUCAUUGAAAGUUUCACAACCCCUGUUGUUUUCACUAUUUAAUUUUGAGUUUCUUACUCUCAUGUUUGGUUCCUGAGAAAAUGGAGGAGAAGAAAAUAAAAUAAGAUUUUGUAGCUUAAGUUUUAUGUUGCUUUGUUUUUCCUUAAAUGGAAGCUAUCAAAAAUCUAAUAUUCAAAAUUUUAGCUCUUUUUUUUUUUUUCCAUUUUCUCAGUAACCAAGCACAGCUUUGACAUUUAUUUUUUCUGUAAAAGGGGUGACAAAAGUGACUCCAACCAUUUACAGCCUUAUUAUCUAGAUUCUGAUUUUACACAUUCCUGUGUUGGUGUGAAUUUGCAGGUUAUUGCAGAACAACAAUAUCUCCGGCCCGAUUCCAACGGAGCUCGGUACUCUUCCGAGACUUCAAACGUUGGAUCUCUCCAAUAACCGCUUCGCAGGAGCUGUCCCAGCGUCUCUGGGUCAGUUGAGUAAUCUUCAUUACCUGUGAGUAUUUGCAUACUUUUUUCUGUCCUGUUUGGAUGGUGGGAAAAUGUAAGAGCCUCGGCGAGUAUGCUUGUUCUCUUUUGGAAGCCAAAAGAUGUCUAAAAUGAAAUUUAAAACUAUAUUUCCUUCUUUUUUCCUUUAGUUUUCUCAGCAACCAAACAGAGAAUAUGUGCCUUUUUCUCCAUGUAUUACUCUGUUUCAGACCUGAUUGUUUUUUUUUAACUGGGUGUUUUUGUCACUUACUAGGAGGCUGAACAACAACAGCUUGUCUGGAGCAUUUCCUGUGUCUUUAGCCAAAAUCCCACAACUUGCUUUCUUGUGAGUAUGGCUUUUGUUUGUUUUUUGGGUUUCUGAGUAUCUUGAAAAUUGAAACAACCUGCAAUUUCUGGAUAUAUUCAUUGUAAUAGACCUAUCAGUUGAAAAAUCCAUUGAUGGGUUCUGUUGGUGUGUACUCUUUGAUAAUUCAGGGACUUGUCUUAUAACAAUCUCAGUGGACCUGUGCCUAAAUUUCCAGCCAGAACAUUCAAGUAAAGUUGAACUGCAACUCCUCUCUCUUCUGAAGGGUCUUUCUGGUCUAUAUUUCAUUUAUUUGAUUCUGUUUUGUUCUUUCUUUUGUCUUGUCAUAUAGUGUUGUGGGAAACCCCUUGAUUUGUGAGGCCAGCUCCACGGAUGGUUGCUCUGGAUCAGCCAAUGCGGUCCCUCUUUCCAUCUCUCUUAAUUCAUCAACUGGUCACCCUCUCUCUCUCUCUCUCUUUCUAACCCUUUUCUGUCUAGACUUUAUAUUAUUUUUCAUCUAAAAUUCUACUGCCAUAUUUUUUUCUUCUCAGGAAAACCGAAGUCCAAGAAAGUAGCAAUUGCACUUGGGGUCAGCCUCAGUAUUGUCUCUCUCAUCCUCUUAGCACUUGGAUAUCUUAUUUGCCAGAGAAGAAAACAAAGAAACCAGACCAUCUUAAACAUCAAUGGUUAGUAACUGAAAAACCCAACAAAAAGCUCCCUUGUAAAACAGCAAUUGACCAAAACCUUAAAUGAGAAUCUAAAUUUGUUGCAGAUCAUCAAGAAGAGGGUCUAAUAAGCCUGGGCAACCUAAGAAACUUCACUCUAAGAGAACUCCAACUUGCCACAGACAAUUUCAGCACCAAGAACAUACUUGGUAGCGGAGGUUUUGGUAAUGUAUAUAAGGGUAAGCUAGGAGAUGGGACUAUGGUGGCAGUGAAACGGCUUAAAGAUGUGACGGGAACUGCUGGAGAAUCACAGUUCAGGACUGAAUUGGAGAUGAUUAGCUUGGCAGUUCACCGGAAUUUGCUUCGGCUGAUUGGCUACUGUGCCACCCCAAAUGAGAGGCUUUUGAUUUACCCCUACAUGUCUAAUGGCAGUGUGGCCUCCAGGCUUAGAGGUUGGUACUAUCUAAGAAUUAUGCUACUAGUAUUAAUCAAACACAUGGUGGGUAUGAUUAUUUCAUCUCAUAUUCUUCAAAAAGGACUGCAUGACCAACCAUAUUAUUGUACUUGCUUACAUCUGAGCUUGCUAUGGACCACAUUGAUGUUUUUCAUUGUGACUUGGUUUGUACCACCAUAUCUUGAGGGGCCCAGAGUUUUAAUUCUGAGCUCAAAUAGAUGUGACAGAUUGGGAUAAUUUGAAGUGCCUAGUUUGUUUGUCUGUUUGUUUGUUUUUCUCAAUAAUUGAAAUUUUUAGUUCUGAGCCCCCAGUUUUUGCUGAUUUUUUUGGACCAGUCUUGAUUUUGAACUUGGGAGUAUAUAUGUGCUGCUGAAUAAAUAGAUCUCAUGGUCUUUUAUUGUGAAUUAGGGGCAGUACAUCUCCUGAUGGACCUGGAUAUUUGGCAAAAAAAAAAUUUGUUUUUGUUUUUCUUUUCCUUUUUCAUGGGAUUGGGCUUUUCUGAAAUUUUCUGAAGUUCAUUGAAGUUUAAGAGGCUUUGGAAACCAUUUUUAUAAUUUAAUCAAGGGUGUACUGUUCAAGUUCUGCUGUCGGUUUCCAGGACAGCAGUUCAUUUAUGCAUAAAUUCCCUAUGUGCUCAUAAUGUUGAGUGCAUGAAGUUGAUAGUAUCACACAAGUUUCCGGCACAUUCAAUACAAAUUCCAAAUCUAAGUUUGAGUCUGACUAAUCUUAACCACUAGAUAUCCCUGCCUUAAAAAAAAAUACUUCUUCAUUCUAGUACAUGGUUAGAGAGAGUUUAUCUCUAUCUUCAAUUUUAGGGCACAUUAGCAUUCAAGUGAUCAUUUUAAUUUGUUGAUUAUAAUAGGAAAACCAGCAUUAGACUGGAACACAAGGAAGAGGAUAGCAAUUGGCGCUGCACGGGGUCUUCUAUAUCUACAUGAGCAGUGCGAUCCAAAGAUAAUCCACAGAGAUGUGAAGGCUGCUAAUGUGCUCCUGGAUGACUAUUGUGAGGCUAUUGUUGGUGACUUUGGCCUUGCAAAGCUCCUUGACCAUUCUGAUUCCCAUGUUACCACUGCUGUCCGUGGAACUGUUGGGCACAUUGCACCUGAGUACCUCUCCACUGGCCAAUCAUCUGAGAAAACUGAUGUCUUUGGGUUUGGUAUUCUCUUGUUGGAGCUCAUAACUGGAAUGAGAGCUCUUGAGUUUGGCAAAACGGUUAAUCAGAAAGGAGCCAUGCUUGAAUGGGUAAGUAAUUUGCUACUGUUAUAUGCUGAAUUGUAGUUAUCAGUAUAAUUAUCAGUAGGUUGAAGUUUGAGUUUGGUAUCUUAACUCAUCAUAAUUCAUUCAUUCCACUUUCACUUACCCACCUGAAUUAAGUGUAGUUAGAUUUCAAGUUUUCUGAUUAAAAUCACAAACAAUUAACACACACUGGUCUUGGAGCCUAGUAACUCUAGCUGCAUCUUCCUGGGGCUAAUAUAGUAGCUUCAGGGCAGAGCACCGAAAUGUAAGUUCUGAUCAUUUUAAGAAUGCUUUCGAGGUUAAGUGUAGCGUUGGGAAAAUAUGAAACCAUAGUGGUGUCCUUAGAAAGCCCUGUCCUAACAUAAUUGGCUGCAUUGCAGGUCAGAAAUUUCUAUAUCAUGGUAAUUUGUAACCUUUUUUUUUUAAACACAAAAUCAUCCCUACAUUUUAAUUUCUUUGCUGAUUAGUUUUCAAGUAGUUGAAGAGGUGUUUCUGGCUAUGCAUUCCUAUUAGAUAUUGAUCCAUUACUAUAGCAAACCUAUUGUUUAAAACCUUUUUUAAAAUCUUGAGGUAAUGUACAGGGGAUUUCUAACAAGUCCUGGACAAGGAAUACAAACCUUGAAAUCUUACAUCUGUCACACCAAUUCCAUCUGCUGUAACAUUCAAAGCUCUCGUUACUUUCCCAGUGUGUCCUUAGAAAUGUAGAGCAUGAAGGUACUGUUAAAAGAAGAGGAAACUAAGAUCAAGGGACAUACUGCAAACAGCCCCUUUUAGGAAACUCUGUUUGAUAUGCGAACAUGAUAUAAUUUAGAUAGUCUAUAAUCAUGAGAUGCACUCUUUCCGAAGUAGCAAUUAAUGACAUCAAUUCAGAGUUGUAGUCAUAUUGUCUAGUGAAGAAUGGAAGACCCCUAUAUGGUACUAUGAAUUUUACUAAAUCCAAGUCGAGGCAAUGGUUUCAUGAACCAACAAGCAUUAAGGAAUAAGGAUAUAGCCCAGGUAGGUAUGCAGAAGGUCCUAAACAUGUUUGAAUGUUGGCUGGCAGGUGAAGAAAAUACAGCAGGAGAAGAAAGUGGAAGUGCUGGUGGACAGAGAGCUAGGCUGCAACUACGACAGGAUCGACGUGGGGGAGAUGCUACAAGUGGCUUUGCUGUGCACUCAAUAUCUGCCUGCCCACCGCCCCAAAAUGUCGGAAGUGGUCAGGAUGCUGGAAGGCGAUGGCCUAGCAGAGAAAUGGGCAGCCUCCCACAACCACAACAACAAUAAUCCCACCCCCAACAUCUCCCAUUUCAACAGCCACAAAAGUACAUGGCGCCCUACCACUGCAUCAAAGCAUGAUAACAUUGAUCAUGAUGGUUCAAGCAUGUUCGGCACCAUGAUGGACGAGGAGGACGAUGAUCAUUCCUUGGAUGCCCAUGCCAUGGAACUUUCUGGUCCAAGAUAGAACACCCCCCUAACAAGAAUAGAAAUCAAUUCUUUUUUUUUUCCAAUUCAUUAAAAAGCUAGGGUUAACUUUGUCUCAACAAAAGCAUAUAGAGAGUGCUAUCCAAUCUAGUCCUUUGUGUCUCAUUUUGCCCUCUUUUCUUUUCUUUUCUUUUCUUUUGUUAAAGCUGUAUGGGGUUGUAAACUUGAAAUGUAAAUAUUCUCGUGUCUCUCUGUUUUUCAUGUUUGGGAGAUAGGAAACUAGGUAGGAAAGUGGAAGGGAAAGCAGUGGGGAUUGCAGAGGGGAAUGACUAAUGAGGUGAGGUGGCGAUGGGGGUUGGUACAUACUGCAUCAUGAGAUGGUGUGGCAGCAGGAGUGAGACUGUGAGAGGGCAGAAGGGGGAUUGACUCAGCUGACUACAAGUGUGGAAAAUGGCAGUGUGAUGUGUGAAGCAGUGAAGUGAGGUUUGUGUGUUGUCAAGUGAGAGCUGUUAAGGGUCGUUUUCUUACUGAUGCUUUUGCAGGGUCACGCGCGUCUUCCUCUCUCUCUCUCUCUCUCUCUCUACUCUCUCUCUCUCUCAGUCUUUGUACUUUUGUACGUCUGUCCCCCAAAUACAAAAAACUGAAAAAAGGAAAAGAAAAAAAAAAUCAGUUUAUUCUACACUGUCUACAUCAGUGAAUCAGCUCCUUAUCUCUUUAAUGCAAUGUGGGUACUACCCCGUUUGGUGGCAAUGGCGGAAAAGGCACAUGGGAGAUUCAAACGUAAAUAUAUAUUUGGCUUCCUUUUUGUUUCCUUGAAUAAGUUUCUCGUUACCCACAUUCCAAACAUGGACCAUAGAGGUAUUGUGCAAAGAUAUGUUUGAAACUUAAUGAAAUAAUUUUUGUUUCAUACUUGGAAAGUGCUUUUGAAAAUAGAAAAUAAUUUUCCAAUUCAUAAAACACAUUUCACAAACUUUUAAUAAAAAAUCUUUCUUUUAAGAAUAAGUUUCAAAAAUAAUAAAUUUUAGAUAUAUAUAUAUAUAUAUAUAUUUUAACUUUUUGUAGAUUGUUGCAAAUAACAAUUGAAAAUAUGCUAUAAAAUUUCAUUUUUCUUUUAUAAAUUUCAUUAAAUUCUUAAAAAUUACAAUUAUUAAACUCUCACAUGUUUUUUUUUAAUCAAAAGAUUGUUUUUAUAAUUAGUGACUAUUUUGUAUAAUAUUGUUAUAAAUAUUAAUUAUGUAAAUAUUAAUUUUUUAAUUUUUAAUUUAUUUAUAUAAAAAAUAGUGCAUAUAUAAUUAAAAUAAAAGGCAAUUUUUUUUACUGCAAAUAAGAUUAUGAAAAAAAAUUGAACAAAAAACAAAAUUUGUAAAUCUUUCUUCAUAUAUUUUUUUGUCAUAAAUAAUUUCUUACUAAAAAAUAAUGUUCGUAUCAAAACUUCAUGUAUUAUUUGGAAAUUAUUCUUGCCAUAGCAUUAAAGAAUAAAAGUAAAUUCGUGGCUGAUAGUGAUACUUAGUCAUAAAUAAUUUUGUGGCAAAAUUUGGAGUUCAUGAUAGAAUGUCAUACAUUAUGUCAUAAUUAUUCUUGUUAUAUUUUUUUGCAAUUAAAAGUAAAUUCGUAGUUAAAAGUGACAUUUCGCAAUGAAUAAUUUUGUGGCAAAAAGUGGAGUUUAUGGUGUAAUGUUAUAUAUUGUGCAUGAAUUAUUCUCGUCAUAAUUUUGUUAACAAAAAGUGAAUUUGUGAUUAAAGUGACAUUUUGCCACAAAAUUUAGUUUAUGACAAAAAUUCAUGGAAAAAUGUUAUAUUUGUUGUGGUGUUGGAGGGAUGACUUGUCUUGAUAAUUGGAAUGAGUUUCCUAUGGUGAAUGUAUUAGUGUGUAUAGUCACACAUUAAACAUGACCUACAAUGAAUCAUGACAUUGAUUAUCAAGUAAUCAUGAUUUCAUCAAAUUACUAUUUCACAUGGACUCUAAACCUUCGAGAAAAUAUAGAGUUAGUGCUAAAGUCUUCAAUAACUUUGAUGUGUGGGUGAGCCCCCUAAGGUGGUCAUAUAUUCUUUACGAAUUGGGUCCUUGUUGAUUAAGGUAAGUGAUAUUAUGUAUUGUCAAUCACCAUAAUAUCUUAUAAGAUUGAGACAAUGUAUCCCUUUGAGUGAUUUUAAGGACUUAUGAUCAAUAAAUUUGUGGUAUUGUAGUAUUUCCUUAACUAAGAUUGUAGUACUAAAUAAACCAAUCUUACUAUAAAAAAUCUUAUCAUGACCUCAUUACAUGCCAUAAAUCGAUGGAUAUCCAUGCAACAACUUCAUGGAAAAAAAAAAAACUUUAAAAUAUUAAGAGUUAAAAUAUAAGACAAAACAACUCAUUGAAUUCAUAUAAUGCCUAAACAAGUUGGUUCAAUCCAGUUAUAUUAAUUUCCUACCCAACCAAAAGCUUGUUGCACAUCAUAAGUCUACAUAUAGUAAAUAACAUUUAAAAAAAAAUGAAAAAUGAAAUCUAUCUAAUAAGUUAACAUUGCAUAGAUAACAUGAUUGAAAACCAUGAAAAGUUCAUGGUUGGUCAUUUAAAUUUCAAAAAGAAAAAAAAGAAAAGAAAAACUACUUAAUUCUAAAUCAAGUCUUUUUUCAACAAGAGAAUGGACAUGUCAUGUUUGGGAUUGAGCCCCUAAAAUCAAGACAUGUUAGACUUCAUUGUCCCCUUGCAAUCCCUUUUAUGCAUUGACAUUGAUUUGAACAUUCAACUCAUAUAUCUUACAUUGUACAUGACUUGAGUGCAUUAGGAAUUACACAGAAGAUACAAGUCAUGGAUUCCUUGUAAGUAAAUAAGUUGUUCAUGGUUAGUUCAUGAAUUUGUGCAAUCCAAUAAAGAUUGUAGUGUACCAUCUUCAAAUUGGAAGGAUAACUUCUCUUGGCCAUCAAGAUGGUUUUCCUAUGGUGAGUGCACCAAUGUAUGUGAUGCACACUAGAUAGAACCUAUUGUGAAUCAUGACGUAAGACUAUUAGUUGUUAUGAUUUACUAAGCUAUUAUAUUGCAUGAACUCUCAACCUUGAAAGGAUAUUAAGCCUAUGCCAAAAUCAACAUGAGUCUUUGACCUACGGGUAAGACCCUAAAGUGGUCAUAUAUCCAUAUGGAUUGGGUCAUUAUUAAUAAAGGUUGGUGGCAAUAGGUAUUCUCAAUAGAGACAUCAUGAUAUCUCAUGGGAUUGAGAUAAUGUGUUCUUUGGUUAUCCGAAGGACAUGUGAUUAUGAAAUCUAUAGUCGUAGUAAUUUCUUUAAUAUAAUUUGACAUAUUCUCCUUGGAAUUAAAAUAUGUUAGUUGAUCAUAUAAUAAGUGGGAUCUGUAACUCAAGAAUUAGAAAUGUAAUCUUAAUAGGUGAUAACACUAUCUUGUUAAAUUACGGAUACCAGUUCAUAGAGAGUCUGCAUGUAGUGGUUAGUAGGUCAUAGACCCGAGCUUUGUCUCGUUGUUACUUACAUAGAGUACUAGGGUGCAAUUGAUUCUUGGUAGUGGGAUGUUGAAUCAGAUUCAAAAUUGGAUUUUGAGAGAGCUAGUACUCUUAUGGAUACUAAUGGUCUCCGCUCUAAGUUCAUAUAUCAUGAUAACAUAGUUUAUGAGGGUUGAAUUCACUCUAGGUUCACUCUUGUACAUAAGUGUGUUUUGGUAAUUACAUAAGGUUGCAUAGGGGAUAGUGAGCGUGAUAUUUGGAUUGGAUUAAUUGAUUAAUUAGAUGACCCUGUGUGGUUAAUUAAUCAAUUUGAACUUGAUUUAAGCUAAAUUAAGUAACCUAAACCCAUAUGGGCUCAAGUCACUUAAGCCUAGUGAGAGAGCCCUAUAAAUACCCCUUGGGGUUAGGGUUAGGGUUAAGGUUUCCAUGGGUUUUAAAUAGUUGUCUUCCACUUCCAAAGGGAGAGAGAGAGAUUCAAAGUUUCCUCCCUUCCAAAGUCCAUUUUUAAAGUGCCAUGGACAUGGUUCGAGUCAUCGGGAGGAAGACUUUGGGUGUAUGAGACCUCUCAAGCAUUAAGACAUAUUCUUUACCACAAGGAAACUAAUUUAGGAACAUCUAGAUCCAAGUAUGAGUUUCAAAUCUCUAGAUCUUUAUUAUUAUAUGGUUUUUGAAGCCAUUAAUUUUUAUUGUGUUAGAUUUACAAAUCCCUAGGCAUAAAUGCAUGCACCCUACCAAAUCCAAGGCAUAGAGCGAGGUAAUCCAAGGUUCUCAAUAGUGGCUUGUAUAUUAUUUUAUAAUUUAUCUAUUUGGGUCACUAUAUAUAUAUUUCAUUAUUGAUGCUUAAGGAGGAAUUAUAUUCUUUCUAUUUGAGAUCAUUGAAGAGGAAGAGAAUAUAUGUUUUUCCCUUAAAAAAUGAUUUUUUUUUUUUUUACUUCAUUACUUUGUAGUUCUUCCAUUUCUGCCCCAAAAUGGUCUUAUUUCAUGACUCGUUUAAUAAUGAUAAAAAUAGAUGUCUUAUGAAAUAAACAAAUUAUAAUAUUUCCAAAAGAAACUUCAUUAUUUAUAUAUCCAUAUUCGAUUAAGUCAUUCAUUAUGAAUCCUUUAUAUGUAUUUAAAGAUACUUUUGUUGUGAUUGAGCCCUAGAAAGAAUGACAUGAUGUAACAUAUUAAGAUUCAUUCAUAAAAUUAUUUAUCUAUUUUCUUAGUUUCUUUUUUAUUAUACCAUAUGCAUUAAUUGGUUAUUUGAAUAUACAUGCCUACAUUACUUGCAUGUACAUGAACUUGGUGCAUUGAGAGUUGCAUAGAAGACCCAAGUCAUGGAUUCCUUAUAGGGUGAUGAUUAGUUCAUAGUCAAUGUUUAGAUUUAGGCAAUCCUUAUAAGACUGUAGUACACUACCUUCCAAUUCGAGGGAUAACUUGUCUUGGUUAUCGGAAUGGUUAUCCCAUGGUAAAUGCACUAAUAAAUGUGAUGCACACUAGAUGAGACCUACGAUGAAUCAUGAUAUAAGGGUAUCAAUUGUCAUGAUUCAUCAAGCUACUAUACUGCAUGGACUCUUAUCUUUGAGAGGGUAUUGAGUCUGUUUCAAAAAUCAAUAUGAGACUUUGAAUUAUAAGUGAAACCUUAACGUGGUUAUAUAUUCCUAUGGAUUGAUCACUGUUAAUGGAGGUUGAUAGCAAAAAAUAUUCUCAAUAAAUACACCAUGAUAUCUCAUGGUAUUGAGAUAGUGUGUCUUCUUGGGUGAUUUAAAGAAUAUGUGAUCUAGAAAACUAUGGUCAUAAUAUCUCACUUAGUGAAAUUUGACAUUUGCUCAUUGAAGUUAGAGUAUGUCAAUUGAUCAUAUAAUAAGGAGGAUAUGUAACUUAAGGAUUUAAGUGGUAACUUGAUAAGUGAUAACAUUACCUUAUUAUAUUAUGAAUACUAGUUCAUAGGGAGUUUGCAUGCAGUAGAUAUUAGGGUACAAACCCAAGCUAUGCUCAUCAUAAUUUUAUAAGAUAUUAGAGUGUUGUUGAUUUUUUUCAGUGGAAUGUUGAAUCAAUUUCAAAAUUGGAUUCUAAGGAAGCUAGUAUUUUCCUAUGGGUCUCAAAUUUGGAUUAUAAGGAAUCAAUUUCUAGUUUUUAAGUUUGCAGAAGGGCAUUUUGGUAAAAACGCAAAGUUGCACUAGAUUUUAUGGAUUAUAUUUCUAGUAUGUGCUAAUUAAUUAUUUGGAACCCAUCAAGGCUAACUAAUUAAUUAUGACUUAGUUGUGCUAGAUAUGGUGACCUAAACCCAAUUUGGGUUCAAGUCACUUAAGCCCACAAAGAGCUUUAUAAAUAACCAUGUUAGGGGGUUAAGGUUUCAAUUUUGCCUAUCAUCUUCCAAAAAAAAGCCUCUAGAGAGAAACCAUAGCCACCCUCUAGAGAGAAGCCAUAGCCACCCUCUAGAGAGAAAAACACACACUUUUCUCAUGUCUAGCUCCAUAGGAGGAGAGAUUAGGUGGGAAACUAGUGGGUAGACGAGAUUUUAAAUGACUUUGGAUUUGAUCUUCACAACAUAGAUUUGAUCUAGGAACAUCCAGAUCAGUGUAUGUUUGAAGCUUGGAUUUUGCUUAGAUUGUUUUCUAGAGAAGCCUAGGGUAGAACAAUAUGUACCUAUAUGAUCCAGGGUCAAGGAAUUAGGUAAUCUAGGAUUCCCAACAACUUAUAUAAGAGUUGUAAGAUAAGUUUUUGUUUGUUAGAUCUACUUUAGGACGUGCUAACUUUGUUUUGCAAGGUUGUUUGUUUCAUCCCAUGGCUUCAAGGAUGAAUGUUUGUGGUUUUUUGUUUUAAUAUGAUGGUUAUACUUGUGAUUUGCUUUUGUUUUCUCUUAUAUUGGGUUGUAAGCUCCAUGUUUAAGACCAUAAUAUUUUUUUUUUACAUUGUAAAAAUCCAGUUUUUAAUUAUUAGAUUAAUUGUGAACUUCAUUUUGAGGAGUAUAUAUAGGAACUUUUGUUAUAAAAGCUCCAAUUUUUAUCAAUCUUGUAACCCAUGGAUUGCAAGAAAGUAGUCCAAGACAUCAUUCAGGCCUAGUGGCUCCCAUUCCAACAAAGGUAAGUUUUUUAGUGGAGAACCAACCCAAAUCCAAAGGAGAAACAACCUUGGAUGCACACAUUUUUGUAAUAGUGCUUGAGCGGCUAGAUUAUUGCUUGAGCACUGGUGUCAAGCACUUGAGUAGUCCUUCGAGCAGUGUAAGUUGCUUCCAACAUCCUCUUUGGAUUUUUGGGCGCUCGAGUGCUCUUGGCAACAAAUAGAGAGUAAGGAAAAUGGCAACGACCGAAAAAGGUUUUUUAGGAUAAUUGUAGUAGUAUAGGGUUUGAUUGUAAUUUGUUUACUAACCCUAUUUGUUGUUGUAGGUAUGGUUUUGAUAAAUUUGAAUGAUUAUCCAAAUAGGUUGCCAAAUUCAUGCAACAAGAUUCCUAAGGCCAUGGGAGUAAUUGAUUUUACUUUAUUAUUUAUUUUUGUGUAUAUUUGAUUUUAGCAUGUGUUAAAUGAAUAAUAAAAUUUUGGAAAAGUAAUUUUGAAUUUUUUAAGAAAAUAAAUUUUCAUCAGAAACAAAUUUCUAUUGUUGAUUUUCUUAAAUUGGUUAUUAUUAAGAUUAUUACUAUUCCUUUUUGAACUUUCCACUUAGUUGUUGAUAGGUGGUUUUUAAUGCUCUCCCACUUUCAGAGAAAGAGAAUGAUAACUAUGAUAGUUGUUGUCCUUUAGGCUCUCCCACCCUGAGAGAAUGAGAAAACCACACAAUCCUUCAAGAUUUUCUCACUAAGAGAGAAGAACUUUUAUGGUUAUGGAUAGCCCAAGGAUAAAGGGAUAAGCAAACAAUUCUAUUAACAAAGGAGUCUCAAUUUAAGAAGUAAAUAACAAAUUUGGAAAAUCUCAUGAUAGAGAAUUUAUUUAAGAAAUAUUACCAAAAUUGCUAAAAGUUUAUUUUUUCAAAAGAUUAAGUAGGAAAGGGCAUCAAUAAAACCCAUAACCUCCAUUGUAGAAGUAGUCUUGAAAGGUUGAUAACUUUCACCUUAUUAGAUAUUAGACACCAAUUCAUAGGGAGACUGUACACAAUGGAUUGGUCACGAAACUAAACACUUAAUGUCUCAUUGUUAUUUAUAUAGGGUAUUGGAAUGUAGUUAAUUAUUUGUAGUGAGAUGUUGAAUUAACUUCAGAAUUAUAUUUUGAGGGAGCUAAUACUAUCCUAUGGGUUCUAAUGGUCCUCGCUCAAGGUCAUAUACCUUGUUGUCAUGGUUUAUGAGGUUUGGAUUGGGUUUUGGUUCACUUUUCUUUUAUGCAUAAGGACGCUUUGACAAUUACACAAGGUUCCAUAGGGGUUAAUGAACAAAGUCUUUGGAUUGAGCUAAUUGAUUAAUUAGAUUAUCCUAUGGGGUUAGUUAAUCAAUUAAAACCUAUUUUGGACUAGAUUAAGUGAUCUAAACUUUUGGUGAGCCCAAGUCACUUAAGCUCAGUUAGAGAACUUUAUAAAUACCCCUUUAGUGGUUAAGGUUUUUAAGUUAGUCAUCUUCUACCAUCCAAAGAAACAAAAGAGAGUCAUAGUCUCUUCCCUUCCAAAGACCCACUUUUGGUAUGUUAAGAUCAAGGUAGAGUUAUUAGGCAGAAGAUCUUAGGUAUAUGAGACUUUCGAAUACUUUAGACUUCAUCUUCUCUAAAUGGAAUAGAUUUGGGAACAUCCAAAUAUGUGAUAUUGUAUUUUAUAACACUUGAUCUAAAUCUUUGUUUAAAAAUAAGUUUGUUUUUGUUGUGGAUAUAAUUUAAAGAAAGUCCUAAGAGAUUCACAUGUAUCUAACUUGACUCGGUGUGGGGAAUGGAGAGAUUUGAGAUUCCCUACAAUGCCUAUAUCAUAUUAAUCUAAACAUAAUCCAAAGACAGGUUAAGUCUAGAAUUUUACCAUACUUGAUUCUAGGGGAUCUUCUAGUCUAUGAAUCCUAUAUAGAAGGUAAGAUGACAAAGAGACUCUUUACUACUAAAGGAUAUAGAGCUAAGGAGUAUUUAGAGUUAGUGCACAUUGACAUAUAUGUUUUAAAAAAAUUUGAAAGUGAUGAAAAUAAUUUUAAAAUGGAUACAAUUUUGUUUACUUUUAAUGAAGUGUAUAUCUAAAAAUUAUUUAUAUUUAAAAUUUCAAGUUAAUUGAAGAAGACACACAAUUAAAAAAAAAAAAACUUCCAAAUAAUUUUUAUUUUUAUUUUUUUUACUUGUCCGAUAAAACUGUUUUAAUUAACUUAACUAAAUAUAUUUUCCUAUUUUUGAGAACAAAAAAUUGUUUUUCAUAAUUUAGAGUCUAUUUGGAUGGUAUUUUCCAAAAUUGUUUUCUAUUCUUGAGGGGGAAAAAAAACAUUAAAACAUUUGAUAACUUUGUUCCAAAAGCACGAAUAAGAAUCUUUUGAUCAAUGUGGUCACCUAACAAUUAACAAAUUUACAUUAUGAUAUCAUUUCUAGGUUUUAUGAGGUUGUCAUGUCUAACACCAUGCAUGUUUGUAUGAAUUCAUACCGCAUUGUUCAUGUCUUCAUGCAACAUCAUAUCCAUAUGCAAAAUCUGGUAUCUAUAUACCAUAUAUAAUUAUUUGAAAGUAAAGCUGAUUCAAGAUAGGUUGGUAAUGAAGAAUUAAGUAGAAGUUAAUGGAUCAAUCCUCCAUUGGUGCUACUUGUAAAAAGUCUCUACAAGUCAUUAAUUUUGAUAACUUACUGAUAUUGUUGCUACUUCAUCUAAAUGUGUUUCCCUUUUUCAACCUCUAAAAAAUUAUUUAUUUUAAUAUAUCAUAUUAAAAUAUGAUCUUGGUGUGAUAAUUGUUAUAAUAUUUAUUUAUAUUAAAAAAAUUAUAAGUGAUGCAGAUAAUUUUUAAAAUGGAAUAUAUUUUUUAAUUUAAAUGAAGUGUGAAUCUAAAAAUUAUUAUAUAUUUACAAUAUCAAGUUAAUUGAAGAAAACAUUCAAUUAAAAAAAAAAACAAACAACUUCCUAACAUAUUUUUUAGAGCAAAAAUUGUUUUUCAAAAUUUAGUUACUAAAUGCAAUUUUAUUUCUAAAAACAUAUAAAUUGUUCUUAAAAACUAUUUUCUAGAAUAGUUUUAAAAAACAUCUACCAAAUAGACCCUUAGUUUCUAAAUAUAAUUUUGUUUAUGAAAACAUUUAAAUCUAUUCUUAAAAACUUUAUUAGAACUAUUUCUUGAAAUAAUUUCCAAGCAUAGUCUAAGGGUAUUUUUGGGAAUAUUUUAAUGAAGUUUUCUAUAACAAAAGUUUGUUUGGAAACUCGAAAUAUUUUCAACAUAUUUUAUGUUUUUUUUUAAAAAAAAUAACUUUUAUCCAUAAUACUUUAUUUUUCAUCAUUUUUUAUAUUUAUAUAAUUAUUUUUUAAAAUAGCUCUUUAGAAACAAGUGAAAAUGUCUUAAAACAAGUAAAAUGCAUUUUUAAAAAACUAGAUAUUUUUUAAAAACAUUCUUCAAAAUCUGUUGUGAGAAUAAUUGAUAACCAAAUGUGUUUUUAUAUUUUCUUUGCUUUAAAAAACACAAAACCGCUUUUAAGAAUAGUUUUGAAAUAUAACAUAAAGGUUAUUAGGGUAACCAACAAGAAUUUCUUAAAACUUAAUUCCUAUCCAUGAACAUGAAAAGUGAUUUAAGCCCUCUUUUAUAAAGUUUUUUAAAUGCUAUAACAACAAUUUUUAAGGAUAUUUGGUCAAACUCUAUCACAUUUAUUUAUUUAUUUAGUUAUGUCAACUUAGGAAUGGUAAUGGGGUGAAUUGUUAUGGGUGCAAUAAUUUGUAUCUUACAAAACUAAAUUAUAAAAAUUUAUUAUAUUUAUUUAUUUAUAAAUUAUAUUUAUUUUAAUAUAAUUAAAAAUCUAUGUUGAUGAGAAUUGAUUUAAAGUAAGCAAAGUGGUGUCGUGCCUAAUUUGUUCUAUUGUGAUUCCUAUAUCUGUUUUCCCUUUAAUAGAAAAAUAGGAAGUAAAAGAAAGGAAAAUCGUGAGCGAAACCUAAACCUUAAGAGUCAAAAUAUGGUAUUGAUAUGAUUGAUAAAAUUAUUUUUAAAAUUUUAAAAAUCAGAAUUCUAGUAAUAGUUUAUAUUGACUUGUUUUUAAUAAAUUAAUUUGACAAAAAAACUAAAAUAAGUAUUUUAUAAUUUUGGAAUCUUUUAAUGGGCUUCAUUUUGAGGGUGGGAAAGAAAUUCGAAAACAUUGGGCCCCGAUGGUGCUAGGCCCAUCAAGCCCAAAAAAGAUCCGGGCCCAUGUCUUAUUGGUCAUGGACUCAUGGUCACAAUCACAGUCCCUCUCAUCCUUGUUGGACUAGGAGGUGUCAUUGCUCAUUCAGGUUUUCUCUCUUUCUUCCUGGAUGCCGCGAAUCGAGACGGAAUCCAAAUUCCAAACAUGAAAACGUAGGAAUCCAAUUCCUAAGGAUCAUAAACAGCUAUGGCAAAUCAUUCCUCAUCAUACCCAAUCCUCUGCGCUUCCUUCAAUCAAGAUACAAGGUACUACUACCCUUUCUCUUAUUUCUUCUUCAUUUUUAUUUUUUUCUUUUCCCUAUUUUUUUUAGGCUUUUUGGGAAUCUUUUCUAUUGAAACAAACAGAGAAUUUUGGUAUUUUUGAAUUUCAGUUACUUUGCGAUUGGCACGAGGGAUGGAUUCAAAGUGUUCGAUUCCGAAACAGGGACUCUACGUUAUGAGCGAGGCAAGUUUUUCAAUACUAGUUCAUAUUCCUUGUUUUUAUUUGUUUAUUUAAUUUACAUUUGUUUUUUAAGUUUUGUUGAAUCGAAUUUUAGCGUUCAGUUAGUUUUUGUGAAUCGGAAACGGAUGAAUUUCUGUGCUAAUUUGAGUUACGUUUUGAUUGAAUAUUACUUUUGAAGUUCAAAAGCUGUUUAUUGAAGAUAUUGGAACAGGAAUUUUGUAGAAAAUUGCAUGUAUAUGGUAACAGCCUCCCGCUCACGGUGACAAAAUGAUAAAUGUCAAAUUUAUCUUUGAUUUUUCAUAAAACAAAUGGAGCCUGAAUGUAUCCGGUUUAUUCAAUAAUUCUUUAAUAUCUGGAAAUUCCCAACUUUCCGGGUGCGAUAAAAAAUAUUUCCCUUUUUUCUUGAAAUAUCAUUUACUUUUCUUGGCUUUAAUUUCAUUUUGGAUUUUUGUCUGGACUUCUCCAAUAUUUUCCUGGACAACUCCCAAUUUUGAAUAUAUUUGAGUUUGAAUAUAUCUGAGGCUGAAUGCUAUUUCCAAAUGCCAUUUUUGUGACUGUGCUUCCCACUGAUCAGUGCUAAGGAGUUAAAUAGAUGAUUUUUGUUAAACUACAAGGGAUAGGAGAAGAGAAUUGCUAUAUACUGCACCCCUAUGAUAACCCAAACACUCAAAUUACAAUGAUGCCCUCACAUAAUCUUUAACACUCCCCCUUAAGCUGGAGGUUGGAGCAUAGGAAAUUUUAAUGCUUAUCUUGGAACCAAAUGAUAGAAACAGAUUUUUUGAAAUGCCCUUAGUAAAUAGGUCUCCAAGUUGGUCUUUUGAUCUAAAAUAUUGAAGUGGAUUGUUUCUCAUCACAACUCCUUGAAUGAUAUGGCAAUCCAUUUCAAUAUGUUUAUUUGCUCACAAAACCUAGGACUACUUGCAAUAUAUGUAGAUGCUUGACCAUCAAACAGCAUAAUCAUAGGGUUUUAGUUUCAAGACCUAGUUAUUUCAUAACACUUUGUAUUCACAUGAGCUAUAGCACAAUGCUGGGCCUCAACACUAGAUCUGGUCAUAGCAUUUUGCUUCUUACUUUUCUAGGUUACCAAAUUACCUCACAAAAAAGUGUAAUAUGCACUAACAGAUUGCCUGUCAGGUUCAGAAUCGACCUAAUGAGCAUCUGAAGAAUUGAAAAUAUCAAGUUCGGUAUGCUUCUUAUACAAAAUAUCCACUCCAACUGUUCCUUUUAGGUAUGUGAGAAAAUGGCAAACUGCAUCCCAGUGCACUUGUUUAGGACUUUUCAUAUAUUGUCAAACAACACUCACAAUAAAGGUAAUAUCAGGACAUGUCAUAGUUAAAUAUAUGAGUUUUCCAACAAGACUUCUAUACCUUCUUGUAUCAGAAAAAUCUACAUCAUCUACUCCUUUCAAUUGUACAUUAGGAUCCAUGGGUGUAUUUACAGGUUUGGAUCCUAACAAACUAGCCUUAGUAAAUUUUGCAUUGAUAUUCUUGCUAAGAGCACCUCUAUACCCAACAAAUAUCUAAGCAACCCCACGUCUUUAGUUUGAAAAUUAAUUUUCAACUAUGUUUUCACCUUUUCAACUCCACACAAAUCACCUUCAAAUACAAGGAUAUCAACAUACAAAAUUAAAAUCACCAUACCUAAUCAUGUAUUCUUCACAAAGACUGAAUGAUCUAAGUGGCGACUAGAAAAACCAAGAGAGGUUAGUAAUCCACUAAGCUUAUCAAAGCAUUCUUGAGGGGUUUGUUUGAUCUCAUAUAUGGCUUUUUUAAAAUACACACCUUUCUUGACUCCCUCUGAGCAACAAACUUAGACUUCUUUUGGAAAAUACUAUAUGGAAAGUGCAUUUUUGACACCAAGAAGAUAUAAAGGCCAAUCAAAGUAACCAACAUCAUAUGUCUACAAAGAAGGAAGUCGAAAUUGGCUUUUAUAUCAACUUGGUGUCAAAAAUGCACCAACCUUUAUAUCAACCUUUUGUUUGCUGAUGAUACCCUCCUUUUUUGUGAGGAUAAUGUAGAGUAGCUGAAUUUUUGGAAAUGGAUUAUCAUGUGUUUUGAAUUGGUGUCAGGCUUGAAAAUAAAUCUGCAAAAAAGUGAAGUUAUUCCAGUAGGGGAGACAGUGGAUGUGAAUAGAGCAACUUCUCUUUUUGGGUGCAAAGUAGGAAAGCUUUCCACGUCUUAUCUAGGAUUACCCCUUGGGGCCCCUAAUAGGCAUUGUGGUGUUUGGGACUCUAUUGAGGAGAGGUUUAAAAGGAAAUUAACUGUUUGGAAAAAACACUACCUUUCCAAAGGAGGAAGACUUGUCCUUUUAAAGAACACUCUUUCAAAUCUCCCUAUUUAUUUUAUGUCCCUUUUUAUUAUUCCUAGAAAAGUGAGAAUUAUAUUAAAGAGAAUUCAAAGAGACUUUUUGUGGGGAGAUUUGGGAGAUAGGAGCAAGAUCUAUGGUAAAAUGGUCAGAUGUUUGUAAGGCUAAAAAUUUUGGAGGCUUGGGGAUAAGAAGAUUGCAUAGCCUCAAUCAAGCUUUGCUAGGCAAAUGGCUAUGGAGAUUCUCUAUUGAGCAUGAUAGUUUGUGGAGGAAGAUCAUUUGUGGAAAGUUCGGGGAGGUGGAGGGGAGUUGGACUACUGAGUGUGGAAGGAGUUAUUUGGGAUGAGCCUUUGGAAAGACAUUAGAAAAGGGUGGGAAGAGUUUAUUGCUAGAACUUCUAUCCAUAUAGGAAAUGGUAGUCGUACAGGCUUUUGGUGGGACAUGUGGGCGGGGGACUUCAAGCUAAAAGAUUUUUACCCUACUAUUUUUGGGAUAGCUUCCCAUAAAAAUGCUACAGUUGUAGAAUCUUGCAAAAGAGAAGGGGAUGAAGGGGGGUGUUGGGAGGUUCAUUUUAGAAGACCUUUCCAAGAUUGGGAGGUGGAGGAGGUGACCCGCUUUUUGGGUUCUCUUAACCUGUUAAAAGUGCAAGAAGGUGAGGACACUUUAUGUUGGAAAGAAGAUAGGAGAGGACUUUUCCGUGUCAAGUCUUAUUAUUGUUCUCUAAGUGGGGAGAAUAAUUUCGUUUUUUCGGGGAAGGAGGUUUGGGGAUCCCGUGCUCCUCUUAGAACUUGCUUUUUUGCUUGGGAAGCUGUUUGGGGGAAGAUCCUAACUAUAGACACCUUAAUGAAGAGGGGAUGACAAAUGGUCAAUAGAUGUAAUCUAUGUAAAGAGAGUGAAGAAUCAGUUGAUCACAUCCUAAUUCAUUGCGUUAAGACAAGAGAGCUUUGGACCUUUUUAUUAACCCUCUUUAGAGUGACUUGGGUAUUUCUAGAUUCAGGAAGAAAUCUCCUUCUUCAAUGGAAAGUUAAGGGGUUGCAAAAGAAGAUUAGAGCAAUGUGGCACUUGGCUCCCAUUUGUUUGUUUUGGUGUAUUUGGAAAGAGCGUAAUCGAAGAACCUUCAAAGAUGAAGAUCUUUCCGACCAGGGUUUAAAGGAUCUCUUCUUUUGGACUCUUUUUGAGUGGACUAGGGAUUCUUUGGAGCUGGAUUUUCCCUUUAUGUUGAUUUUCCUUGAUACUCUUUUUUGUGGUUAACUUUGCUUUGUUUUGUUUGUUGUCUUUCUUUGGUUGAGGUGUGUUUGACUUGUUUCUAUGUAUACAACCUGUAUAUGUAGGGCGUGCCCCCUCCUUUUUUGGCGCUUAUUAAUGAAUGCUCUUGUUGUCCAUCAAAAAAAAAAAAAAAAAAUCAUGUCUACAUAUAUCCCUUGGAAACUAGUCGCUUUUUCAACCUCUUAAUAGUAUCAUUUGGAUGGUAUUUGAAAAUAAAGACCCACUUCUAACCAACAAUUUCUAUUUUUCAUGGUAAAGUAGUUAAACCCCAUGCGUCACGGUUCUAUAAUACUUUCAUGUCUUCUUCCAUGGCUACUUUCUAGCCAAGAUGAGAGAGCUUCCUGGUAAGUCUUAGGAAUAGCAAUAGUAGACAAAGAAGUAAAGAUUGAAAAGGAAAAGAAAAAUGAGCAAAAUUAGGGUAUUUAGAUUGUGGAUAUUGACUAGUAGUUCUCUUACCUUUUUGAAGAGUAAUGAGGAAAUGAAGAUAAGAUGAAAUCAAAGAAUCAAUAAUAGGAGAUGAACCUCCUAUCAAUUGUCGACAAUUGAAUGGUGGUGGAAUGUACGUCUCAAGGAGCAAUCUCAGUCAUGAUCAUUUUCUUUCUCACAUAGACUAUUAAAGGUUUCUUAGACACAUGAAUAUUGGGAGCUGAUGAUGCAAUUGGUUUAGACACAGGAAUAAUGAGAAGAAGAUCAUUAGUUAAAGAGAAGAGUUGUGUACUAAGAGUUUCAAAAGAAAAAAAGGGGUAGAUUGAAACUUUGCACUAAUUAAGUACCUAUUGAAAGUGGGAUUAAAACGUUUCUAACCUUUUUGAGUUUUGAAAUAUCCAAGGAAGACAUACUUUGUGGACCGAGGUAAAAAUUUAUUUGAACUUGUGGUCGCUUAAUGCAUAAAGCAAACACAUUCAAAUAUGCAUGGAGGAAUAGAAAGCAAUGGAAUAUUCAGAUAUAAAAUAAAAAUUAAUUACCAAGAAUAUUGGAUGAGAGAUGGUUAUUGAGAAAACAAGUAGAAAGGACAACAUCACCCCCAAAACUUUUUCGAAACUUGCAUAUGAAAAGGAUGUGAAUGAGCAAUUUCCAAAAGGUAUUUUUUUUUCUCUCUUCUACUUCAUUUUGUUCGGGAGUGUAAGAGCAAGAUGUCUGAUGAAUAAGUCUAUUAUUCUCACAAAAAUUAGUAAUAGAAAAUGUGAGAAUUCUAAAGUAUUAUUUGAACCAAAUGUUUUAAUGGGCACACUAAAUUAUGUUUUUCUUUCUUUAAAAAUGGACUAAAAUACAUAAGCAACUUCUUAUUUGUCUUUUAACAAAUAUAACAAGUGACUCUAGAAUAAUCUAACCAAAUUUAAGAAAUACUUAAAUCCUAAAACAUUAGAAACAUUGGGAAUUUCCAUCAGAGGCAAGACCUUUUGGCAAAUUGCUUGCUUCACUAUACUUUGGAUUGUGUGGCAAGAGAGAAAUGCUAGGAUCUUUGAGGAAAAGUGGAGAUCGGAAGAGAUGUUGUGGGAUUUACUUCACUUUUAUUCCUCUUUAUGGGCCUCUUGUACUAUUACUUUUAGAGGAGUUCCACUUAAUGUUAUUCAACUUGGUUGGCUUUAUGUUUGUAAUAUGAAGGGGUGGAUAACAUUGAGAGGAGUUGAGUUUAGUCUUGAGGAGUUUUGCGUAUGUCUAUAGUUUUCCUUGUAUGGUGAAGGUGUUUAGUCUUACUUGGAUCAAUAUAUCUUUUGUUUUUUUAUAUAAAAAAAAAAAUAGAAACAAAACAUGGAACCCAAAUGUUUGAAUGAGCAAGAUGAAAAGGAUUGGAACUCCCGUUAUUGACCCUAGCACCAAGAGCGGACCAAUGAUGUUUGCCUAACUCAUAGGCUUGACACUCUAACUUGGACUCUAAUAUAACUGGAAGUUCCAUAAAUCAAAGAAUGUGAAGUGGAGGGUGAGAUAGUUUCAUUGCAUGGAGGAAACAAAAGUAUGUAUAGCAAUUGGAACAAGAGGUGGGCCAACAAGGUAAUAAAUUCCAAUAACUUCAUACCUUCCACCAAUCAUCUUCUUCAUUGAGAGAUUUUGAAAUACAAAAUGGAGAGGGAAGAAUGUUACAAAAAAAUUAAGAGACUAGUUAGUUUGUUUAUGGAUAAAAGAUUCACCAGAAAAUUAGGAACAAGUAGUAGAUAAUUGGAUUCAUUCAAUUUUAUGUAGUAAUUUGGAUAUCAAUAUUGUUUUAGGUUUAAUUCCUAGCAAUGGGACUACCGUUAGAAUCUAUUUAAAUAAAUUGUAGAUUGGAAUAACUUGAAUAGCAAAAUAAGCAAAGGGCAAUGUCCAAUGGAAAUUAGGUUUGCAACUAAGACAUAGGGUUUGGAACUUGCUUUGAUACUGUCUUCAAGAACAAGGAAUAAGAGAAGAGAAUGUGUUUCUGAAGUACCAAAUAUUAUAUAUUGUACCCCCAUAAUAACCCUAAUACUCAAAUUAUAAUAAUACUUUCACAGAUAAUCUUAAACAGUUUUGAAACAAUCUUGGUUAUAUGUUAACAUAUAGGUAUUUCCAAAGAAUUGAUAAUAAUAAAAAAAGUAAAUUUCCUAUCUCCAUAUUUAUUACCCUAACCAAUUUUUUCUUAACCCUUAAAAGAGAAUUUUUCCUAUGCAAAUACCUAGGCUUACGGUCUUUAUUGCAAUUAUGAAUCAACAACCUUUUUCUUAAAGAUGAUAUUUAAGCUAUCUACCCUAGGUUAUGCAUUUUUUUUUUUGAUAGGAUACCCUAGGUUAUGCAUGCUAUGUUGGUCAUAUAAAAGAAUAAAAUAAAAAGUGAUUCUAGAGUAGAUGUGCACCCUUAGAAGUCAUUCUCUUUUUAGUUGCAUCUAAGAUUUUUAGGUUUAUACUAAUCCAACCUAAGGUGAACAUCCAAGAAAGGGGUGAAUUAGGUAUUGGCCAAUUUUAACUGAUUUUUUAGCUUAAUGAGUGCAAAUGAAAAAUAUAUGCAAUUAUGAACAAUAAUAUAGACAAUGGAAUAUAAAGAAAUAAGGGAUAGAGAGAUGCAAAUGCAGUAUUUUCCAUUGGUUUGGUGCAAUGCAACUUACAUCCGCUCUCCUCUUGGUUCAAUCCCAAGCCUAAAGGUUGCACUAUGUUUAAGGCAUCAAACCAAACCUUAUAGCUUUGUCUACUUGGAUUCUCGGUUUUGAGGGGCUUUCAACAAGCUUCAAAAGAUACCUCACUUUUAAACUCCCUAAGUGAUACCAUACACUUGGCAAACUCUUAAGUGAUGCCUCACAUUUGAAUUUUUUCCUCAAAUGAUACCUCACACUCGAGCUCAUCCUCACAAGGUUACAAGAUUGAGUUUACAAUACUAAGAACUCCUAGAUUACGAUUUUACUUAAUGGACACAAUACAAACUAGGAUUGAUAAGGUGCACUAAGAAUGAAAUGCAAAUUUAGGCUUUUUGUACUCAAAAUUCUUGUCUAAUGCUCAAAGGAUAAUUGAACAACAAUUUGGAACCCUUCUCCAUCUAAUAAAUGAAGUACAGAUCCUUUAUAUAGGAGUUAGAAGGUCAAACUAUCCAUUAGACAUAGUUAGGCUCUAUCAUAACCUUCGAUUGAAUUGGCUCACUAGCCAUUGAUUGGCAGAAGGUAUAACAGGUGACCAUUAGGUCACUGAGCUGGACUGAUUGAGUGAACAAUUUGAUCGAUUGAGUAAAUGGUUUGAUCAGUUGAAUUGGUUGAAUGUUGAACUGGUUGAGUGAAUAGUUCAACCGGUUAAGCUUUCAACUCAAUCGAUGGCCAUUACUAUAGGAUUUUGGCAAACCACCUUGACCAAUUGACCUGGUGGUCAACUGGUUCUUGCUUUGUUUUUGAUAUCUUAAUAAAUAUACAAGAUUUAGCUCAAAAACAUGGGGAACAAACCGGCUAUGAACUGCUUACUAUUUUGAAAAACCUUUAUAAAGCUACUCUUGAACAAUUUAAGUUUAGGUUUUUCUUCAAAACUAUUUUCAUCCAAUUUAUGAAAAUAGAAAAACGGUUUAGGCAUUUGGAUAAAUCAAGCCCCGUUAAUAAAAAUAUGAAAUGCAAUCAUAAAUUAGUGGAUUUACAAUCUUACAUUUAUUAAGGUCCUGAAGAUUUAUCUUGAAAUGAACCUUCUCCUUCUUCUUCUUGCUUUCCUUCUUAGCUUGAUAUAUCUUCUUCUUGAUGUCUCCAAGGAAAUCCUCUUGCCUAUCACACUUAAAUGUAAAUGUUAAAUCCAAAUCUUGUUUUGUUAUGAUCAAAACAUGAAAUUAACCAAACCUUGGUCUAACAAAGAUCACCUUAAGAUUUGCAAAUGUUUGAUGUUGAAGGGUAUACUACAACAAUUUAGCCUGUGCAUUUUUCCUUUAACAUUAGUGGAAGGAGUAGCUAUUUCUCACUUGCCUCAAAAGAAUUUCAUGAUCAACAAUGAAGUUUUAAUAUCUUAUGUUGAUUCCAAUAUAACCUAGUGAGAUGUCAAGAGCAUGAUCCACACAAACAAUGAACCACAUUCCUAUUGUUGUAUCUAAAAUUCACAAAUCGUUUGCUUACAUCAUCUAUAUAUUUUAAUCUGCUUGGCUUGUAUAUCAUGUAUGUUUAUGAAAACUUUGCAAAUGCUUUCCAUCUUUUGCCCUCUGUCAUUGGGUUCUUUGAUAUUCAAAAGCACUUGCUUCUUGAUUAUGUGCAUUAUUAUUCAUGGGGAAGAUAUAUCCACUAUAAGGAAAGUUCCCAAAUGUUUGUUUGUUUUUUAGUUGUGUGUGUGUAUGGAUAGAGAAAUAAAUGUAUUAGAAAGCACCAAACAAGGGGCUGUAACCAAAGUACACGAGCUAUACAGGAGACAUUCGAUCAAAAGAGUAAGUUGCAACUGCCGGCAAGCAGGGAGGCCCAUGACUGAUCCUAACCUGUAAAUAAAUACUUAAAGAGAUAAACCUUUCUUCUAAAGAGUCCUCAGACCAAAAAAAGUGAAAUUUGAAAAAAAAAUUAUUUUCAGAUUCUUUUGUUCUUCUGUGACACUAUUAUAAACUUGAUAAUGCCAUUCUCCACACCAUAAACUCCUCUUGUAUGUGGAACUUCCCUACCACCUAGUUAAGAUCUUCUUUACUGACUUUCUCUAUGUAAGUUUAAGAAAAUAAUGGAUUUGUAAUGAUCACCACAUAAUGAUGUUACUAUUUUUUGUUUUAUAACAAUAAAAUCUUACAUGAUGCAUGCAUUAAAAUUAAGGAUCUUUUGAAGCAUUAAAAGUUGUAUAGUGAGAACGUUUAAUCAACUAUAUAAAUAUUCCAUAUGUAUAGCUGGGUCUUGCAAAUAUCCUUUUGAUAAGAUGUUAGAGACUCAACUUGAAAUCAAGAAUGGAACAAAAGAGAUGGAAAUGUCUUUUAGUGUUUUAGUUUCUUGUUCAUGGUGUGAAUUAAUCUGAAAAGUCCAUUCUGGGGGCUCUUAAUUCAUUGGUCAUUGAGUUCUGAAUUUAUGAGCAAGCAAUCUCAGUGCCAAGGCUGAGAGUGCUGUUCAUGGGUUAAUUUUGAGGGUUAAUCGAUAUUCCUAAUCAUACUAUGUCAUAAAAAGGUCCAGGAUUGAUAAAUUAAUGGCUUUCUGCUUUUCAGGUAUUAAAAGUUACAAAAUGGACCGUUAAUAAUGUGUUCAUUUCUUAAAAAAUUGCAACAUUUUUGUAGUACAACAUUCCUUGCAAGAAAGACAACUAAAUCUUGGAACAAGAUAUCAUUCUGGAUGCUGAAAUAGUUUCAAACUUCAAACUACAUAUAGGAUUUGCAUCUCUUACUGUAGAAAUCCGUGUUAGUAAUGUGGAUCUUGCAGGAGAAAUACAACAUUCUAAUGUAAUAAUCUUGUUUGGUUCUAUCAUCAUGCUGAAGCUGGAACUAGAAGUAGAAUUCUUAUUAAAAAAAAAGAUUGUAGUAAGACAUCCUAAUUUUAACAUACAGUCACGGGCUUGUCUAAUUUUGGAAAAAUUAAACUAUACAUUUCUUUUCAUAGGCAAACAAGAUUAUACAUUGAAAGGGCCUAACAAAAAAUGAGGCACAAUCCUAGUACACUUGGAGUAUAGAAAGAGCACAAAAGCAAGCAAAAAAGCAAUAGAAAACACAGAAAAAAAAACCUAUAUAGCUUAAUCUUGACCCAAGCCUCAAUGAAAUCCAUCAAGGAAAGGUCAACUCCCCAAAGGAUCUUUUAGUCCAUUCAAAAAGACAUUUUCAGGAAAAAGACUUUCAACACUUGAUCUGGAUGUUUGUGCUCCUUUCAUAUACACCAAAACAAGCAAAGGGGGCCAAGUUCCACAUUCUUUGUUAUCUUUUCUGCAUUCAUGUUCUUUUCCAGCCUAAGAGAAGCAAUCUGACAGAUUUUGCAAAUACCUACUGCAAGCCAAAUAUAGCUAGAACUAGGGAUUUGAUGCAUUGGAUAAGAGUAUGAAAUUCUAACUCCUUGACCCUACACAGACAACCUAUUAGCCAACAUCCAGCUCCUCUUCAUAAGCUGAUCAACUGCCAAAAUAUUUUCCCGAACAGUUUCCCAUGGAAACAGCCAUGAAUGGGCCCUGUAAUUCCAGAUUUGCUUGAUUGGAAAGUCCUGGGAGAUUUCAGAAGUUAAGGAAUAAUAUAGUAAGACUUGACAGAAAGACUCCCAUUAUUCACCCCAGUCUGGCGCAAUCUCUCCUCUCCUAAACCACGGACACACAUUGUGUGAAUGUGCCAAAAAGUUCUUCUCGCUUCCCCACUCUCCCAAUCAUGAUAGCCCCAAUGAAAGCAAGUGUUUCAACCUCUCCAACCCCCUCCACUCAAAGAUCCCCUACUUUAGCAUUUCUUUUAGAAUGCAUUCUGAACAAGGAAGUUAAAGUGAUCUUUGAACACAGAAUCACCAGUCCAUCUAACUAGACUUGGUUUUUGCCCCAUUCACAAUAGAGAUGCUAGUCAUGUGCCAAAACUCAUUCCACUCAUGUCUAAUAGCCUCCCAAAGACGCACUCCAAAAGCCUCUCCUAACUUGUUGGAUCUCCAACCACCCUCAAUCUCAUCAAAUUUGCCAUCAAUAACCUGUUUCCAAAGGAAAUGGUGCUUCCCAACCCCCAUUACGAUUUCCUAAGAAGAGCCUUGUUAAGGGUUGCUAGCCUUAUUACAUCAUGACCACCAUUAUUCUUUUCCUCAAUUUAUGAGUUCCUAUAAUAAUGAAAGAAACAGUGUGCUAUGGUUCAAUAAUGUUGCAGUCAUCCAUCUAGUAUUUUGUACUGCUAUCCUAUCAUUUUGUGUUGGGUUUGCUCCAAAAAAGGGUAUGUUUUAUGGGUUAGGCAUGCACCUUGUGAAAUGAUUAAUUAGCCUUUUUCCUUUUAUAAGGGUGGAUUUUGUUGUUGUUGUUUUCUGAAAGAAUUUGAGUUUGAAUGUUACAUUCACAUGCCCCAAUUUGGGGAGAAUAAACUUUAACAAUUGUAGAUUGGAUUCAUCCUAAUUUUAUCUGUUUUCCCUUGCUAGCUAUUGGAGGUUUCAUCAUUGUUGAGAUGCUGUUUAGCUCUAGUCUUCUUGCCAUUGUUGGAGCUGGUGAGCAGGUGCUUGGUGGUCUACUGAUUUGUUGUGCUAGAUGGUGUAGCCCUUUUAUUAAAAGUACAUUUUCCUACUAACUUCUCUUAGUUUCUGAUUGAUCAUUUACCAUGGUUCCAUCUGACUCCACAGCCAUCUUUAUCCCCACGCCGUCUCUGUUUGUUCAACACUACAACUGGAGCUGCCCUCCGAGAACUAAAUUUUUUAACUUCUGUCCUUGCCAUUCGUCUAAAUAGGAAAAGGUAAAAAAUACUUAUCAUAUCUUGCUUGUUUUACUAUUUGUUUUCCCCAGAACAAUUGCUAUUUUAUGAAUUCAAGGCAAUACUUCAGUGGUGUUUGUUUUUUUUGAUUUAAUUCUAAAUAGAAUUUAAGAUUAAAUAAUGUUUAAUAGUGUUAAGUAUUAAGUUGUUUGUUUUUUUUUUAAUAAUUUAUUUUUAUUAAGUAUUAAGAAGUAAAGAAAAAUCAGCUUGUUACUUUUACCAUUAAAGAACAAGUCAAAUAUUUUAAUUUUUUUCUAUUUAGUAAAAAAAUUUAAGAAAUAAGUAAUAAGUUAAUAAAAAGUAAAAAAAAAAAAAAACAUCUAAAAUUUGAAAGCAACUUGCUUUUAACAAAAAGUUAAAAAAACAAACAACAUCUUAGCUUUUUUGAUAUACAAAGACUUCAAUUUCACCCAAAAAUAGCCAUCUUGACAUGGGUGGAGCUGUGGGUGUGAGAUCUGUGUUUGACAUGCUUAGAUUGCAUUGUAUACAACUUUAAUUUUUUUUUAAUAUAAAUUUAUUUACUUGUUUUAAAUAACACCAAUAAGUUAUUUGACUCUUAUCUCUAUUUUAACUUCUUUUUAAAUUAUAAUAGAUAAUAACAAUUAUCUAUUAUCUCAUAAAAAGAAAUUAUAAUAGAUAAUAACUGUUGGAAAACCGAAACUGAUAUGGAAAGAAAUAACUUUGUAAAGCUGUAAAUUAUUUAUUAGUUGUCAAUCUUUGUAUUUUUAGGAAAGUAAUUGUUAGGAGUUAUUCUUUCCUUUUAAUCAGUGAUUUAGUUUCCUAAUUUGAAGGAUUUGUAUAUGCUGUAAACUCUAUAAAAGAAUAAUCUCAAUGAAAGAAAAUUAUUCUUGUGAAACCCUAUUCUUCAACUUGGUAUCAGAGUUAGCAAUUUGCUUGCCGAAAUCCUCCUUCUUCCUCUCUUUCAAUCCCUGUUAUCUGAAACCAUGUCGGAUAUUUCAAAAGAGUCCACUACUGUUCCUCAACCUUCUCUGAACAGUCCCAUCAUCACUGAUUCUUCAAAAAUCAGUCCUACCACCUCGGAAUCUCACUCUGUCCAAAUCACCACGAUUCGCUUGAAUGGUGACAACUUUCUGAAAUGGUCUCAAUCAGUUCGGAUGUACAUCAGAGGAUGUGAAAAGAUGGGCUACUUGACGGGUGAAAGGAAGGCUCCUGCAGUGGAUGAUCCGAACUAUGCUAUAUGGGAUGCUGAGAAUUCCAUGGUGAUGACAUGACUUGUGAAUUCUAUGGAAGAAGACAUUAGCUCUAAUUACAUGUGCUAUCCAACAACACAAGAGCUUUAGGAGAAUGUAAAUCAGAUGUAUUCUGAUUUAGGGAAUCAAUCACAUAUUAACCCUCAAACUUGGUGAGAUACGACAAGGGGAGGACAACGUCACAAAGUACUUUAACUCCUUGAAGCGGAUCUGGUAAGACCUUGACCUCUUCAACACCUAUGAGUGGAAAUUCGCUGAGGAUGGACUUCAUCAUAAGAAGACCAUGGAAGACAAUCGGAUCUUCAAGUUCUUGGUUGGCCUUAAUGUCGAGUUUGAUGAGGUAAGGAGGAGAAUCAUUGGAAGACAACCCCUGCCUUCAAUUGGUGAAGUUUUUUCAGAAGUUAGAAGAGAAGAGAGUCGGAGGAAUGUGAUGCUGGGCAAGAAGGGACUCGGAGUUGCUAUUGAAGGUUCAACCUUGGUUACCACGAGUGGAGGCUAUAAUAAAGCUGCUGCGUUUUAGCGCAAAUCAAAUGAAAGACCACAGGUUUGGUGUGAUUUUUGUAACAAACCUUGCUAUACUCGUGAGAACUGUUGGAAAAUCCAUGGGAAACCUGCAAAUUGGAAAGGAAAAACAGGUGACAAACCAGGCCGACCCAUUAUUCCUACUGCUAAUGAGGCUGAGACCAGCCCCUUCACCACUGAGCAAAUGGAGCAUCUUCUUGCACUGCUGAAAUCCAACUUGACAUCCGGUACUUCUAGUAUUUCUUUGGCACACACAGGUAAUGAAUUAUAUGCUCUAUCUUGUCGUUUUAAAUCUACUCCAUGGAUAAUCGAUUCUGGAGCAUCCGACCACAUGACCAAUUCCUCAAACAUGUUUG